rnacentral:rRNA from 1 species
AUACGGAAGGUCCGGGCGUUAUCCGGAUUUAUUGGGUUUAAAGGGAGCGCAGGCGGAGAUGCAAGCGUGACGUCAAAUUUCGGGGCUCAACCCCGUCUCGCGUCGCGAACUGCGUCCCUUGGUUGCGGGAAGGGGAGGCGGAACUCGUGGGGUAGCGGUGAAAUGCAUAGAUAUCACGAAGAACUCCGAUCGCGAAGGCAGCCUUCCGGCCCGUCAACGACGCUCAUGCUCGAAGGUGCGGGUAUCAAACAGGAUUAGAUACCCUGGUAGUCCGCACAGUAAACGAUGGACACCCGCGGUUUGGCCUAUAUGGCUGAGCCGCCAAGCGAAAGCGUUAAGUGUCCCACCUGGGGAGUACGCCGGCAACGGUGAAACUCAAAGGAAUUGACGGGG